rnacentral:rRNA from 1 species
UUCGUAGGUGGCAAGCGUUGUCCGGAUUUACUGGGUGUAGAGGGCGUGCAGCCGGGUCUGCGAGUCAGAUGUGAAAUCCAGGGGCUCAACUCCUGAACUGCAUUUGAAACUGUAGAUCCUGAGUACCGGAGGGGCAAUCGGAAUUCCUAGUGUAGCGGUGAAAUGCGUAGAUAUUAGGAGGAACACCAGUGGCGAAGGCGGAUUGCUGGACGGCAACUGACGGUGAGGCGCGAAAGUGUGGGGAGCAAAC